rnacentral:rRNA from 1 species
UAGUGGCGAACGGGUGAGUAACACGUGGGCAAUCUGCCCUUCACUCUGGGACAAGCCCUGGAAACGGGGUCUAAUACCGGAUAACACUUCCUGCCGCAUGGCGGGGGGUUAAAAGCUCCGGCGGUGAAGGAUGAGCCCGCGGCCUAUCAGCUUGUUGGUGGGGUGAUGGCCUACCAAGGCGACGACGGGUAGCCGGCCUGAGAGGGCGACCGGCCACACUGGGACUGAGACACGGCCCAGACUCCUACGGGAGGCAGCAGUGGGGAAUAUUGCACAAUGGGCGAAAGCCUGAUGCAGCGACGCCGCGUGAGGGAUGACGGCCUUCGGGUUGUAAACCUCUUUCAGCAGGGAAGAAGCGCAAGUGACGGUACCUGCAGAAGAAGCGCCGGCUAACUACGUGCCAGCAGCCGCGGUAAUACGUAGGGCGCAAGCGUUGUCCGGAAUUAUUGGGCGUAAAGAGCUCGUAGGCGGCUUGUCACGUCGGAUGUGAAAGCCCGGGGCUUAACCCCGGGUCUGCAUUCGAUACGGGCUAGCUAGAGUGUGGUAGGGGAGAUCGGAAUUCCU